GAUGGCCGGGAGUCCGAGGAGGCCUCCUCCUCCCAAGAAUGCCUUGGAUGACCUCAACAUCAAGGACUUCAUGUAAACCCCUCUAACCCAUCCCUCUGAGAGGUUGUUGUUAUGUCUGGAGCUGUGGAUGUGGAUGUGUGCACCCCCCGUCUCCCUCCUGUCACGCCCCAGCCCCUUCAGCCAAUCAACCAUCAGCACUACGACCCCUGUCCUCGGACUUCCCCGUAACCUCUCUGUCUGCUGUUGUAGCAAAAACCGUGGCUGUGAGUCAUAGAUACAGAAAACUAAACUGUGUAUGAGUGUGUGUGUACUUCAAUGUUAUCCUUUACCUAAACUAAGAAAAAAAAUUACCAUAAAAAAUGAGUGUAUUUAGAUUUGUUCUGGAACUCCCAUGUGUCAGCUGACCUGGAAUGGUGGAUCUGUGUUGAUUUUCUUGCGCGUUUCCCAGACGAGGAUUGUGUUGUUAACCGUGGACUGUGUUCGGUGUGUGUAAACCUCACUGGCCAAUCCCUGCCCUAUCCUCUCCCUCACUAUCCAAUCAAAUUCUGUAUAUUGCUGUCUUUCUAACAUCAUUCAACACUUAGUUGUACUCUUCUCCAUUAAUUGAUCCACCCAGCCUCUUUGAGAACAGAUACAGUUAUAUUGAUGAAUAUUGAAAUAUGUACAACUGUCACCACAAAUCUGGGUUUACGAGAUGACAAAUCAUAUGACAAAAUGUUGUUUUUAUUUUGUCUGUUUUUUUGAUUGUGUGUUACAUGCAACAUUUGUGGACUAUGUUCAAAUUGACAUAUGCAUUUUAGAAUAUUUUUAAGUAUAGAUUAUACAUAUAUUUCUUUAAUCUUUAUUUUGAGAGAAAAUGUAUCAUAUUUUAGUUAUGUCUAUGAAUUCUAAGGUUUUAAAAAAUUCAAGCAGUUUUGAAAAAUAUCUCAUCUGUAUUUGGAGGCAGUACUGAAUGCAAACUCAGCCCCCAGUGUUUACUGUGGCUCUCCCUGUUGGUGCGGAGUGUUACUGCAUUUGACUAUGUCAAGUGAAGUUGAUCUAGGCUGCAUCCAAAUACUUUAAAAAAUCCAAAUGUACUUGUCUCCUUUACUUAACGGCCAAUUAUCUGAAUUGAUAGGUGAAAGGCAAUUGGUGAAACCAACCAGUGGUCAUGAAAUGAAGGAGACAAGGAAAGAAGGUUUGUAAAUAUUGUUGGGACACAGCCCAUGUCAACCUAAAGGCUUAGGUGGCAAACUCAUUCCACGGAGGACCGAGUGUCUGCAGAUUUUCGCUCCUACUUUGUACUUGAUUUAUGAAUUAAGGUCACUAAUUAGUAAGGAACUCCCCACACAUGGUUGUCUAGGGCUUAAUUGAAAGGACAAACCAAAAAAACAGCAGACACUAGGCACUUCAUGGAAUGAUUUUGACAACCCUGACCUAAGGUCAUUGUGGAGCUGUGAUCAGUAGAGUUGUAUUGUCUCCCGUAGCAACACUUCAGAGGUGUUGGGAACUCGUUAGCUGUAAACCGCUCAGAUAUACAAUGGAUGUUCCAUGUGUUGUUUUUCUUCCAAAGUGACUAUCUUAAUCUGUUGUGAAAAAAAGUAUUGACAAAGAAAAAGAGGAAUAAAACGUAUAAAAUAAAAAAUGUGGAUAACAAUAUUUGCUAUAUAUUUGGUUGAAGGCAGUGUUUGGUUCUUGGAUGGCAUCACUCUUCUCUCCCCCACUUGCAUGUGAGUCCCUUGAGAUGCAAUAAAAUAGAAAUACACUGA